CGUGAACAGAGAAAAGAGUAUAAGUUUUUGGCAACACAAUUUAUCCAGAAGAACAUAAUGUUUCGAUAGUUAAUUCCAGAAGGCUUGUUGGUGACAUGGCAGGAAAAGAGGAUCAGGAUAGAUAACUUAGACAAGGCGCAAGAUUUCUAUGAGCAGAUUGGAGGAACAGAAGAAGAAAGCAGCGGUAGAGAGGAGCUAGAGACAGAAAGCCAAGAAGAACAAUAACAGCAAGAUACAGGAGACCUAGAACAAGAAGGAGAGAACAAGGAGGAGACGGAAGGAAGAAGAUUAAGAACACACCCGCAAAGAGAGACUAGAAUUAAAAGAAGACAGAUAAUAUCCCACAAGUAGAAAGACGGAAAUGGAAAUGAAGCUAUUAUCAUUAAACAUAAAUGGUCUAAACUCACCCAUUAAAAGGAAACAGAUACUAUCUAGAUUAGCAGUCAUGACCUCCAAGUUGGGU